rnacentral:rRNA from 1 species
UACGGAGGGUGCGAGCGUUGUCCGGAAUCAUUGGGCGUAAAGGGCGCGUAGGUGGCCUGCUAAGCGUGCGGUGAAAGUUGGGGGCUCAACCCCCGAUCGGCCGUGCGAACUGGGAGGCUUGAGCACUGUAGAGGCAGGCGGAAUUCCGGGUGUAGCGGUGGAAUGCGUAGAGAUCCGGAAGAACACCGGUGGCGAAGGCGGCCUGCUGGGCAGUUUUGCUGACACUGAGGCGCGACAGCGUGGGGAGCAAACAGG